GCUCAGGAUGAACGCUGGCGGCGUGCCUAAUACAUGCAAGUCGAACGAGUUCUCGUUGAUGAUCGGUGCUUGCACCGAGAUUCAACAUGGAACGAGUGGCGGACGGGUGAGUAACACGUGGGUAACCUGCCCUUAAGUGGGGGAUAACAUUUGGAAACAGAUGCUAAUACCGCAUAGAUCCAAGAACCGCAUGGUUCUUGGCUGAAAGAUGGCGUAAGCUAUCGCUUUUGGAUGGACCCGCGGCGUAUUAGCUAGUUGGUGAGGUAACGGCUCACCAAGGCGAUGAUACGUAGCCGAACUGAGAGGUUGAUCGGCCACAUUGGGACUGAGACACGGCCCAAACUCCUACGGGAGGCAGCAGUAGGGAAUCUUCCACAAUGGACGCAAGUCUGAUGGAGCAACGCCGCGUGAGUGAAGAAGGCUUUCGGGUCGUAAAACUCUGUUGUUGGAGAAGAAUGGUCGGCAGAGUAACUGUUGUCGGCGUGACGGUAUCCAACCAGAAAGCCACGGCUAACUACGUGCCAGCAGCCGCGGUAAUACGUAGGUGGCAAGCGUUAUCCGGAUUUAUUGGGCGUAAAGCGAGCGCAGGCGGUUUUUUAAGUCUGAUGUGAAAGCCCUCGGCUUAACCGAGGAAGCGCAUCGGAAACUGGGAAACUUGAGUGCAGAAGAGGACAGUGGAACUCCAUGUGUAGCGGUGAAAUGCGUAGAUAUAUGGAAGAACACCAGUGGCGAAGGCGGCUGUCUGGUCUGUAACUGACGCUGAGGCUCGAAAGCAUGGGUAGCGAACAGGAUUAGAUAC
rnacentral:rRNA from 1 species